rnacentral:rRNA from 1 species
UACGGAGGGUGCAAGCGUUAUCCGGAUUCACUGGGUUUAAAGGGUGCGUAGGUGGAUAUGUAAGUCCGUGGUGAAAUCUCUGGGCUUAACCCGGAAACUGCCAUGGAUACUAUGUGUCUUGAAUGUUGUUGAGGUGAGCGGAAUAUGUCAUGUAGCGGUGAAAUGCUUAGAUAUGACAUAGAACACCAAUUGCGAAGGCAGCUCACUAAGCAAAUAUUGACGCUGAGGCACGAAAGCGUGGGGAUCAAACAGG